rnacentral:tRNA from 1 species
UCCCUGGAAGAUUAGUGUUUAGGCCACAGUGCUGUUACCACUGCAGCCUGGGUUCAAUUCCCGCCCAGAGAA